CCCGGUGGCCUGGGGCCUACCUGAGGUGGUGAACUGCUUCCCACACUCUCGGCACUUGAGGGGCCCAUCUGCAAUGUGGAUCUUCAGGUGGGCCUUCAGGUUCCCCACCUGUGCCAGGCAGAGGGUCAGAAGGGCCACUCGCAGACCUUGGCCUCAGGCCCCUGCCCAACCCAACCCCAGAGAAUAACUCUCAGGUCUGCCAGGAUACCAGGGAUGGAGCUAUAUCUUCCCAAAGCCAGCAGAAGGUUCCAGGUCCCAGUAGUGACAGGUAAAACACCCCCACCUAAUUCUGUCUGGGCCAAAUGCCACCCCAACUCAACCUGCCCUCCCUAGUUGCCUGGGCAGAGUAGUCGGGAGCACCAUCUGGGGAAGAGUCACUGUUUACAGGUCCCAUGCCUCUGCAAGCCCCGCACACAGUGGGGCUCCCGGGGCUGGCUCUGGGAGUGCCUGCACACCUGAUUGAACUUCUUGUCACAGUGUGGGCACUUGUGCUCCUUGUUGGUGUCAUGUGUCUCCAGGUGGCGCAUCUUGGAUGUGGGGUCAGAGAAGGAGCGGCCACAGUAGUCGCACUGGUAGGGCUUCUCACCGCUGUGCACCAGCUGAUGAGCCGGUAGCUCUUGCCGCACUCCUCGCAGCCAUACGGCUUCAGCGGGCUGGUGGCAAGAAGGCAACGGACAGGGAGGGCUGCUCCCUGGAUCCCAGGGAGCUGCCUGCAAGGUGAAGGAGGCCUGGGGGGCAGCUACCUGUGCGUCUUCUCGUGGGCCUUACAUGCAGCAGGGUCGGAGAAGGCCUUGCUACACUCGCGGCAAGAGAAGGGUUUCUCUCCAGUGUGGAUGCGGAUGUGCCGCUUGAAGUUGCCCGUGUGUGUGAACUCCUUCCCACAAUCCUGCAGCACAGCGGGAGGGGGCGUGAGUGGGCUGUGGGGACCGGGCAGGCAGGGGGCUGGCACCACCUGCGCCCGCGCCUGCACUUGUGGAUGGCGGAGCCAUAUGCCUUAGACUCAGUGCGGUCCCCGUAGGUGCCAGAGCGCAGGCUCGGGCCUCCACGCCGAGCUCCUGCCCAGAGUCUGUGCCCAAGGACUCCUCGGUCUCCCUCGGGGGCCUCUCCGUUCUCUAGCCGGUGUCCCUCCUGCUUGACCUCGGCAGGCCCUGUAUCUUCCUCCUCAGGCUCUUCUUCUCCUUUGCUGGCCGGCUCCACCUCCAUUUCUGCAAAGAGGCAGCAGCACUGAGGCACCUGGAAUGUGAGCUCAGGCUGCUCAAAGGUCAGGUCAGGCCCAGUCGAUCCACUUCAUGCCUCACACACCCCUUCCUCUCUGCCUGAGCACCUAGCAGGGCUCCAGCAAGGUCUGGGAGUGACAAGGACACAGUCC
rnacentral:lncRNA from 1 species